CUCUGUCCAGCUCGGCUUCACGCAGCUGGCGAAGCUCUUCUGCCACGCGGGCAUUAGGUGCAGUCAUUUCACCUUGAAAUCCGAGAAAGAAGAGAAAUCUGCACUCCUUCCCCUUCCCUUUUCCCACUCCUGAAACAUCCGCGCCACCCCCUGCGCCCCCGCGAUUAACCCUGCGAACGAGAAGUUUGCCCUGACACACCUAGUUCAACCACUUCUUGGAAUUCGGAGAUAAACUGAACCGUAUGAAGCAAGUGCUUUACAUUCAUUAUCCCCUUGAUCUUCCCAACAACCCUGAAAGAAGAUGAUGACAAUUCCCAUUACAGAGGAGGAAAGCUCCAAAACGUUAACUGUGCAACAUCUCUCAGUUGGAUUAGCAGGUUGGGCUCAGUGGGAAAGAAGGCCCCUGUUACCAGCCAUCUGUGUUCCGUUCUUCACUUCUGAAACAAGACAGCUCCAAAACUGAACUGGAGAGGGAAUUGGAGCUGCAUACAGAUCAGCAGAGCUGUUGCUAACAGCCCUGACGCCUGCAGGAUGACUCAACCCUCUGUGCCUGGCAGAGUCAGCU